GGAGACCGUGGGCGGAGGUGAUACAACCUGACUGAUGAUGGCUGACAAAAGAAGAAGAAAGUAGCUGAGAACCAGCAGCUGAAGAAAGCAAGAAAAUAUGAGUGAAGUCACAAAUGUCACCAAGGAAAGGAAGAACAGAAAAAUAACUUGAAUAUUCAAGAUGGGCAGCCUAGUUCAACGACACAUCAAGCCUUGUGAAAAGGUGACUCCGAGGCAUGGAGGCACAUGCCUGUAGCCUCACCACACAGGCAGGUGGUGGUGAAUUCUACACUAACCUUGGCUACACAGUGACACACUGCCCCAAAACAGAAACAAAAAGCAAAAAGUUUCUCAGUGAACCUCAGAAAAGGUUCCUAAGGUAACAAAAGAAUCAAAAUAUGCCCUAGCUCACCCCAAAUGCCAAGAGCCUUGCUAUGUUUAGUAAGCACCUCCAUAAAAUGCUGUUUUCCCGGAAGAGAGCUGUUCAGAUGCUGCCCAAGCCAACCCGAGUUUACCAGGUUCCAGGAAUGACCUUGAAUUCCAGAUCCUUCUGCCCCCAUCAUCUGAGUGCUGGGUUACGGUUGGGUGGCUAUACCUGCCUCUCACCUGGGUCUUUGAAACAAAAGAGGGAAGAAAGAAAGAAGGAAAGAAAGAAAGAAAGAAAAGUUUACCUUCGGGCAGCUCAUACACCAGCUGACAAUCUGUCCUCACCCCGAGACGGCAAGCCAAGCUCAGGUGUGUUACGGCUCCACCAGAAAAAGAUUAUUUGCCUUCUUUCCCUCGGUGAACAGCUGAAGCCAAAACGCAGCCCCUGGCACUCCAGCUGUACUCCGUCACAAGGCAGGGCCAGGAAGGUUCUAAUUCUUGCUUCCCAGAUCACACACUUUACAACUGAAGAGCGUCUCGGUUUUGCUCUUGAUCCUACUUUAACCUUUGCCAGCUCCUAGUCCUUUACUAAAGCAUUGAAAACUGUAAAAAGCCUCCUCAGUUCAAAUGCCCAUAAGCAGAGCCCCGAUCGAAUGGAAUGACAUCCCAUUAAACCAACUACUAGGCACUGAGAAAGGGAAAAAGAAAGGGGGCUGAGUGAGGGGGUCGAGAGGGAGGGACGUGGGAAUGCUUUUAAGUAACAAUGGGGAAUGAUUUUCAAGAUAUAUUGGGGGGAAUGGGAGAUGCGCAAAAUGGAGCAGUACCUUUUGUGUUUGAAAAGGUAGAAAAGCCUAAUGACUUCCAUACUCAUGUAGAGACCCUGAAGAUGACACUCAGAUCCACUAACAGGAGAACCGGGGUCCAACCGUGUAUCAAACCAGCAAGAUGACAGGCAUGCGAAAGAGGAUUCUCAUGACUGCCUUUCUCAUAUGUCUUAUUUUUGAACUAUAUAAAUAUGUAUAAAUAUAUUACCUAUUCAGAGAAAGGAAAAACAGUAGGAUGCUAAAAGAAUGGAGACAUAGACCAGAAAAUCUGGCCAUGGGCAAUGUAAGUUGAAAGAAUAUAUGUCAAUAAUUCAAAAAACUGAAAUUUUAGUUUUUAAAAUAUUUUUUUAGAUUGAUUUUAUGUUAUGUGAAUGAAUGCUUGCCUGCAUGUGUGCAUGUGCAUCAUGUGCAUGCUUGGUGCCCAAGGAAGUCAGGGGACGGUGGACCCUCUAGAACUGGAUGAUUACAAAUGAUUGUGAACCACCAUGUGGGCACCCAGGUUCUCUGCAAGAUCAACAAGUGCUCUCAACUGCUGAGCCGUAUCUCCAGACCUGGAGCAAAGCUGAGUAGAGCUUCCAGCUCUACCAACCCCUCAAGGGCUGCCUGGCCUGCGCACAUUAUUUGACCACCCAGUGCCUGCUCCACAAGAGUUGGGGGUAGGAUUGAGAAAGUUAGAACAAGGACAAGGAUACCACAAGAAGAUCUACAGAGUCAACUAACCUGGGUGCAUGGGGGAAGCUCUCAGAGACUAAAUGCCAACCAAAGAGCCUGCAGGGGCUGGGCCUAAGCCCCCUACACAUUUGUAGCAGAUGUGCAGCUUGGUCUUCAUGUGGGCUCCCUAACAAUUGCACCAAGGACUGUCUCAGUCUCUGUUCCCUGCCUUUGGAUCCCCUUUCCCUAGAUGGACUGCCUGGUCAGGCCUCAGUGGGAGAAGAUGUCCCAAGAUGGGUUAGCACCCAAGGGG
rnacentral:lncRNA from 1 species